ACUGUCCGACGAUCAGAGUGAGGUCGUCAGUAGUAGUAUCGCUUGAGGUGCAUGGAGUUCCAAGUUCGUGGGACUUCGGUGCCGCUCAUGGUGAGGAGUUCGUAGUCGCCGGGGCGAACUAUCUUCGAGACUUGGUACGG